UUUUAUUUUAGUAGCCUAUAUUACUUGCUUUUAAUAACAAAAGUCCAGCUGAUUUAAUGUGGUUAUCUUUUUUUUAAGGUAAGUACAAUACAAAUAGCAACUUAUUCCCUAUUUACCAGGAAACUCCUACAUUUGCGGACAUAUUUGAAGUGGUGCUUUGCAAUUUAUUUACUGUAAACACAAGUAUUUUAGCCAAAUAUAAUUUAUGAAAUGGCAAACCAGAAUGAAACAACAGCAGAUAUCAGCUCCCGCUAAAGCAAAAGACGACUACAUGCGUAGGUUAGUGCGCAGGUGUAGAGCGCGCGGCCGUCUGCAGGAGGUUUGCUGGAACGCGAUCCUGAGGUGAAAUUUCUUUAAGAGGUUUUAAAAACGUUCUACACUGUGGAGUACAGCUGCGAGUGAUGUUAGCAGGUUCCGCAUGCUGGAUAAGAACAGCAUUUGUGAGACGACAUCAACUCAUCAUCCGAGUGGACAAGAACACCAACAGAGGAAGCCAAGCCGCAAAAACAAUGAAAAAUUGUCAUGACUUUUUAUUUUAAAUAAAAGUUAUGUGAUAAUAAACA